AUUUAAUGAUGAGCGUCAAGGGAAACUGGGUCACUCACGCAUGUUGUCGCUGCAGCAACAAAGCACGCACAAAGCACUCCAACUAGAUGAAGAGAUACGUCGGACGUUCAGAUACACAUCAUCAGCAAUGCCAAACUAGCAAACUACCAAACUAGCAAACUAGAAACCAAGCCACCGAAAUUCCAAACCCAAAUCCAACCCAAAAGACCCCAGACAAUGCGUCGCGAGUGUG
ensembl:ncRNA lncRNA:CR45695 long non-coding RNA:CR45695